rnacentral:rRNA from 1 species
UACGAAGGGGGCUAGCGUUGUUCGGAAUUACUGGGCGUAAAGCGCGUGUAGGCGGUUGUCCAAGGCGGGUGUGAAAGCCUUGAGCUCGACUCAAGAAAUGCACUCGAUACUGGGCGACUAGAGUGCCGGAGAGGAUAGUGGAAUUCCCAGUGUAGCGGUGAAAUGCGUAGAUAUCAGGAGGAACACCGGUGGCGAAGGCGGGUCUCUGGGCCGAUACUGACGCUGAGGAGCGAAAGCGUGGGGAGCGAACAGG